rnacentral:misc_RNA from 1 species
CUUGGUGUUGGAUGGCCUGGUCGCGGCGACGUGACCCCUCCUAAAGACAAUGACGGCGACCUGUGGUUCCCCCGGUACACUGAGCUUUUUAUCGAGCACGUAUCGGACGCGGGCACCCGGGACUCGGUCUUCUCCUCUUCACCGAGGAAGCAUUUCAUCAGGUUGACCUCGGAUCAGGUAGGAAUACGCGCUGAACUUAA